rnacentral:lncRNA from 1 species
GGUUAGGGUUAGGGUUAGGGUUAGGGUUAGGGUUAGGGUUAGGGUUAGGGUUAGGGUUAGGGUUAGGGUUAGGGUUAGGGUUAGGGUUAGGCAACGGGUUAGGCAACGGGUUAGGCAACGGGUUAGGCAACGGGUUAGGCAACGGGUUAGGCAACGGGUUAGGCAACGGGUUAGGGUUAGGGUUAGGGUUAGGGUUAGGGUUAGGGUUAGGGUUAGGGUUAGGGUUAGGGUUAGGGUUAGGGUUAGGGUUAGGGUUAGGGUUAGGGUUAGGGUUAGGGUUAGGGUUAGGGUUAGGGUUAGGGUUAGGGUUAGGGUUAGGGUUAGGGUUAGGGUUAGGGUUAGGGUUAGGGUUAGGGUUAGGGUUAGGGUAAGGGUUAGGGUUAGGGUUAGGGUUAGGGUUAGGGUUAGGGUUAGGGUUAGGGUUAGGGUUAGGGUUAGGGUUAGGGGUUAGGGGUUAGGGUUAGGGUUAGGGUUAGGGUUAGGGGUUAGGGUUAGGGUUAGGGUUAGGGUUAGGGUUAGGGUUAGGGUUAGGGUUAGGGUUAGGGUUAGGGGUUAGGGUUAGGGUUAGGGUUAGGGUUAGGGUUAGGGUUAGGGUUAGGGUUAGGGUUAGGGUUAGGGUUAGGGUUAGGGUUAGGGUUAGGGUUA